GGCCAUGUGGACUGUAUUGGUGUGGGAAAAAUAAGGCGUUGGGGCACGGUGGUGUGUUAGUGUACAGCUGGCCGCUCGUCAUAUGUUUAAACAGUACUGCUGCUUACUAUCCUCUUAAUCACUCCAGAAUAGUUCUGUAUGCAAACUUUUCUCUCUUAGCAGAGGAGUGAAAGUUCUUCAUUCUUGGCUAGUCAUAAUUUCUCUUCCAGAGGUGCCUCGUGUUCCACGCUGGAGUCUGGGAUGUGACUAGCGGAUUACAGGGCAGCUCGGUCAACACUAGUGUGUGUGUGAGAGAGAGAGAGAGAGAGAGAGAGAGAGAUCGUGUGUGUGUGAGAGAGAGAGAGGGGGGGAGAUGUGGCGGAAGCGUCGGAUUUUAUCACCCAGAGGAGAGGGACUGAAGUGAUUUACCUGGCCGGGGUUUAAAUCAUUUCCGCAGCACAGAGAGUCAGUCGGCUCGUUGCUCCCGGACCGUUGAUGGGUUUUAUGGAGCUAGCGUAGCCGCGUUAGCAAGAAAGCGCUGCACAGGCCGCUAGUUCACUUCAGAGCGCUCAUCAGCAUAUUAAAUAAUAAUAAUCAUCAUCAUCAUCAUGGGCCUGAUUGUGGCCAAACUGUGGAGCUUUUUCUGUAAUCAAGAACACAAGGUGAUCAUCGUGGGGCUUGACAACGCUGGAAAGACCACCAUCCUUUACCAGUUCCUGAUGAAAGAGGUCGUCCACACGUCUCCGACGAUCGGGAGUAACGUCGAAGAGAUCGUUGUGAAGAAUACGCACUUCCUAAUGUGGGACAUCGGAGGCCAGGAGAGUCUUCGGUCCUCUUGGAACACCUACUACUCCAACACCGAGUUCAUCAUCCUGGUAGUGGACAGUACGGACAGAGAAAGGCUUGCUAUCUCUAAAGAGGAGCUGUACAGAAUGCUGGCGCAUGAGGAUUUGCGUAAAGCCGCAGUGUUGAUUUUUGCCAAUAAGCAGGAUAUGAAGGGCUGUAUGUCUGCGGCUGAGAUCUCAAAAUACCUGACCCUCAGCUCCAUCAAAGACCAUCCAUGGCACAUUCAGUCAUGCUGUGCUCUUACAGGAGAAGGAUGUAGUCCCCCUUUGCUGUUCUAACAACCUCCACACUUUUGAAAAGGCUUCCCGUUAGAUUUUGGAGCGUGGCUGUGGGGAUUUGUGCUCGUUCAUUCAACCGUGAAGGGAAACUGUAAUGCUACAGCAUACCAUGACAUUCUACACAACUGUGUGCUUUUUCUAUACCGUUUUGGUGAAACCCACAUAUGGAUGUGCUGGGUGUUGAUUGAAACGAACGCACACAGUGUUGAGUCGGCUGUGCCAAGGCCUGGAGUGGAUGACCUCUAGGGCGGGACUCAGAUAACCUCCAACACCCUUAGAGGAUUGUCUUCAGUUAGAGCCUUCAUCACAAACAUCUGGCAGCAACUCAGCCUCAUCCUACUGGCUGCUUAUUAUUAUUAUUAUUAUUAUUAUUAUUAUUAUUAUUAUUAUCAUCAUAUUUUAAACUUUUAAACUAUAAUGUUCGACCUCUCUGGACACCUACCUCACUUCAGAAGGACAGGAUGCUGGCUGAUUGAUUGGACAGACGUUUUCAGUUUUUCAGGACAAGUUGAAUAAUGCAAGUGAAAGAAGUGGAACGCACAGUGUCUGAAAUGUUACCGCUUCCAGAGAGGCAUGAGACCGUGUGCUUUGAACACUGUCUCAUUUUUGGAAAAGUUCUCUGUUGUGGUUUAGGAAAGUUGGGGACUGGUGUAUUUUAUUGGCCAACAUAUUUUAGUGGUAUUUUUCUUUCUUUCUCGAGGUCAGGGAAGUCUGUUGCUUGUAUGUUUUUUUUUUUGGGGGGGGGGGGGGACUUGUAUGGGUGUUUGUAACAAACUCAAAAACCACUACAUAUCAUGAAAGACGCAUUACAUAUCAUUACAUGUCUCAUUACCUCAAUUGACCGCCCAGUAGAUACUCGAGCAGCGGUCUUGUACCCAGCCUGUUGCGAAUAUUGCUUGACCACUGAAACGUGGGAACAGCUUGGUUCAAUAAUAGUCCUUUUCAUUUAUUUGUCAGUUAUUUAAGGUCCGCGAACACCAUUUUUUUUUAAAUUUACGAACCAAGUUUGUGCUGUAACGUAAAAUGGGCUGCUUUCCCACAAAAAUUGCAUUGAGGACUGGUUACUAAUAUGUAUUCUUUAGCUUAUGUGAGGAUGAAACCUGGAUUAUGGAUAAACUUGAAAAUCCUGAUUUAGUGCUUGUUGUGUUUAGUUUUAAUAUUUCAGGUACCAGUUUGUAUUAUUUUUAUACUGGUGAGUCAUAUGCUGCAUCGAAACACUUACUCAGACGUGUUUGUGUGUGUCUCAGGCUAGUGAGCGUUUUCUCGGUCUAUUUUAAAGAAUGGGUGCAAACUGAGAAGCAGCUUCAAAAUCUAGUUGGAGAUCUGUUCAGUAUGAAAGCGUUCUUGAGCAGAUUCCCGUGCGAUUUUGAAAGAGUGGCUGUACGGCAUGGAAUCGUGCGUAUUUGAUUUAUUUUUAUUUAUUUUUUUUCACCUGUUGUGUGGGAUUAUUCAUGAAAGGUUUGUUUUCCAUUUUUGAAAUGGAUUUGGAUCAGAAGAGGCAUGAUAAUGUCUAGAUAUGAAAACAUGUUUUGAGCUGAAAAUUAAAAUAGGCCCUCGAGUGAGUUGAUCCCACACAGGAACCAGAUGUUUUAUGCUUUGGAAAACCCAGCCUCGGCCUUUCAUAGGUGUGUACAGGUAUAACGAUGGGAUUAUUAGUAUAAUUGAGGCAUUGAGCUGUGCAUUCCUCUGCUUUUAUUUCUUUAACACUUCAAACUAUGCUGCCUGCUUGAACACCAAACCGUACAGAGCUGGAAAUCAGUGAAGUUUUUUGCUUCACUAUCGGUAUCCAUGCUUUUUAUUAUAUGGUUCCAGCAUGCAAGGGCCAGGGUUCACAAAGUAUGGUGUUUGAUUUAGAGGCACAGAAUCAUUAAUCUGCAAUUCCACUGAUUCCUCAUUUCAUCAGCCAUUGAAUUCCCAUUUGGUGAAACUUCAGACGUGCCAUUUCAGCAUAAGCAGGAGAAAUACGUAUCAAUUUUUAUAUUUCUGUAAUUUUAUAAUAAAUGCUUUUUAUUUUGAA